rnacentral:piRNA from 1 species
UUCUAUGUAGUCAUGGUGUCCUUGAAUGU